GAUGAAGAACGUAGCGAAAUGCGAUAAGUAAUGUGAAUUGCAGAAUUCAGUGAAUCAUCGAAUCUUUGAACGCACCUUGCACCCUUUGGCAUUCUGAAAGGUAUGCUCGUUUGAGUGUCAUUGUACUCUCACACUCCCGAUCUUUGCAUUGGGAGCAGUGGACUUGGGUUUGCUGCUUCACCGUCGCUUACCUCAAAUAGGUUAGUGCAACUCUUGGUUGGACAUAGUACGGCGUGAUAAGUGUUCUUCGCCGGUGCCUCGCAAAGAGGGUGGCCGAUCGGGAUGUUGUGCUCCAAACCGUCUUCGGACAAUCUCUGACGACUUGACCUCAAAUCGAGUAAGACUACCCGCUGAACUUAAGCAUAUCAAUAAGCGGAGGA
rnacentral:misc_RNA from 1 species